rnacentral:rRNA from 1 species
UACGUAGGGGGCAAGCGUUGUCCGGAAUCAUUGGGCGUAAAGCGCGUGUAGGCGGCUAGGUAAGUCUGCUCUGAAAGCCCGGGGCUCAACCCCGGGAGGCGAGUGGAUACUGUCUAGCUCGAGUCCGGAAGAGGAGUGUGGAAUUCCUGGUGUAGCGGUGAAAUGCGCAGAUAUCAGGAGGAACACCGGUGGCGAAGGCGGGUCUCUGGGCCGAUACUGACGCUGAGGAGCGAAAGCGUGGGGAGCGAACAGG